UUGGAAUUGCAUCACCCUAUUGUGUCUCAUAGGUAUGGUAAGGGGUUGGCUGAAGAAAGUUUUUGGGUUGGGACAAGGGAUUAUAGUCCAUAUCUGGUGCUUCCUUCAGUUAUGGAGUUCGUUAACAGGUUCGAAGGCGGUCUUAAGGGAAUCAUAAAAAGGAAUCAUGAUGCUGUUGUUGAGAUGGGGAAGAUGUUGGCAGAAGCUUGGGGAACCAAUCUAGGGUGUCCUCCUGAUAUGUGCGCUAGCAUGAUCAUGGUAGGGUUACCGGCUUGUUUGGGGAUUUCAAGUGAUGAUGAUGCUACGAAGUUAAGGCCACAUUUAUGUGAUAAAUUUGGUGUUGAAGUCAGAAUACAUUAUCAAGCUCCCAAAGAUGGAGAGGUUGGAUCAACGACGGGGUAUGUUCGAAUUUGUCAUCAGAUUUACAACAAAGUUGAUGACUAUUACAAGCUCAGAGAUGCAGUUAAUCAACUAGUUCGUGAUGGAUUCACUUGCGCUCUUGAGGUAUGUAUAUGCUCUGCCUUCAUCCAGUUUAUUGGUUUGUAAGCUAGACAUACUAUACACUGCAACUUGCUAAAUUUGGUUUGCUUACUUGUUAUUGACAUGGGAUUUUACGUUAAUCUGUAGAUCAAUGAGGCCUGAACUCCGUUCGAUGAAAAAAAGAAGCUAUAUGGUCCUAUAUCCUGCAUGCUUUGCUAGUUGUGCAAUGGAUUUUGUACCAUUAACUUCUGAAGUGCUCCUGAGCAAACAAGUAUAUAUAUAGAGAAGUUCAUGAAUUUUCAGUUUGAUAUGCAGAAAAGUUCAUGUAUGAAUACAUUAACAAUUAUCUGUCGGUUUGGUUGUGAUUCGCAGAGAUUAGGACUCGAUUUGAACACAGCACCUCAUGCAAUCAGUUUGACAAUAAGUGAAACACAAUGUGUGCUUGAACAACAAGACUUACCUGAAAGCACUUGCACUCCUUUGCAGUUUUAUAAUAAGCAAUUGUAACUGAUGCAUUCCUUAAAAGCCCUUCAAUUAUUUACUCUUCAUCUUUCUAAUAUAAUGUGUUAAACUGUCUCUUUGAGCUCAGUGAUUUAAUCCCAGAACUUUUAAGUUACCGUGCCCACUUGAACUAUAUGAGUGUUACUACAAAUGGUAUCAGUUCAGCCAUAAGCUGCAUUUGUUAAUAAGCUGAUAUAUUUACUAAAGUGAUGUUUUUCUUGCCACAAAGGCAAACCUAAAUCCAUGGUUCUCUAGCGUUCCAUUUUCCAUGCAUAAUUUCCAGCACAUCACAUGUAGAUAGCCAGAUUCAAAAGCAUGAAAAUAUGGAAGUUGACUUUAGAUUAAUACACCAAACUUUAUAAGAUUGUCUUUUGGUGACCCAAAUCUUAAAAUCAACGUCAUAAUCCUUUAUUUUUCUCCCUAAUCAAUUUAAACCUCCCUAAUGUCAUAUAUAAAACAAGUGAUUUUGGUCGUAGCUCUCUUGUCUUUUGUAGUCAAGACAAGCAUUGAGACAUAUCAAGAGUCCGCAAGAAUAUUACAAAUUAAUAAGUUGAACAAUGACUAUGAAUGAGAGAUCAUUAACGCCCAAUUUCAACAAACGCUUAAGGUACUUAAAAUCAUCAUGUUCAAUUAAUUCUUGCCUCGACAAUACAAUCGGCGCUGAUCCUCAUUAAUUUGCUAAUGUCUUUGUUGUGUAUGGUUCUGGUUUGAGUGAGCAGGUCAUGGCUAAAAAGAUUAUUAUGUUUUGCCGCCACUAUGUUCCACCUAUUCUUCUCCUUCCUUAUCAAACCUUCCAAUUCCUCUACCCCAAGCUUUCAUUUCAAGUCUCAAGGGCCUCUAACCACCAUUUCCACAACCUCAAAGCUGAUGAAAUCCAAACCCAUGUUCCCAUUGAGACAAAACUCUCUUCUUCCUUCAUCACAGACUCCGAAAUCCAAUCUGAAUUUGCUCACCAUGCUCCUGGUGUUGCCAGGAUGAACAAUGGCAGCUUUGGUUGCUGCCCUGCUUCUAUCAUCUCUGACUUACAUCAAUGGCAGCUCAAAUUGCUCCGCCAGCCGGACCAUUUCUACCUGAAUGAGCUCCAGAACAGGAUACUCGAAUCAAGAACCGUAGUUAAAGACCUUAUCAAUGCAGAAGAUGUGGAUGAAGUCUCCAUUGUAGACAAUGUCUCCACUGCUGUAGCCAUAGUCCUGCAGCAGACGGCAUGGGCCUUUGCUGAAAGGAAAUUCAACCAAGGGGAUGCUCUCAUUAUGUUUCACUGUGCUUAUGGAGCGGUGAAGAACUCAAUCAAGGCCUACUUUCUGCGUGCUGGUGGGUACGUUAUCGAAGUUCCAUUUAAAUUUCCGCUGAAUUCCAAUGAAGAAAUCAUAAGUGAAUUUAGGAAAGCAUUGGAGAGAGAAAAGGGUAAUGGUAGGAGAGUGAGAUUAGCUGUGAUUGAUCAUGUCACAUGCAUGCCAAGUGUUAUAAUGCCAGUUAAGCAUUUGGUCAAAAUUUGUAGGGAAGAAGGUGUCGAACAAGUUUUAAUAGAUGCAGCUCAUGGUGUUGGGUGCAUAGAUGUUGAUAUGCAAGAAAUUGGGGCAGAUUUUUAUACUAGCAAUUUGUAUAAGUGGUUCUUUUGCCCACCUGCAGUUGCAUUUCUGUAUUGUAGGAAGUCAGUGACAAAUUCAGAUUUGCAAUUGCAUCACCCUGUGGUGUCUCAUGAGUAUGGCAAUGGGUUGGCUAAAGAAACUGGUUGGGUUGGGACAAGGGAUUACAGUCCUUAUCUGGUGCUUCCUUCAGUUAUGGAGUUUGUCAAUAGGUUCGAAGGCGGUGUUGAGGGGAUCAGAAAAAUGAAUCAUGAUGCUGUUGUUGAGAUGGGGAAGAUGUUGGCAGAAGCUUGGGGAACCAAUCUAGGCUGUCCUCCUGAUAUGU
rnacentral:lncRNA from 1 species